rnacentral:lncRNA from 1 species
AUUUUUUAGACAUUGUACUAGAUAUUUUACCUAUGUUACUUUUUGUUAUUGUUGUUAAUUUCAUCAAAGGACUGUGAUAAGAAGUUUUGAGAUUUUAAAAGUAUUUUUUAAAUGUUACCAUUAGACCCACUUUUGUAUAACUGCCUUCAAAGGAAUCAUAGUUUUCCAGGUGGCCAGUCACGGUGGCUCAUGCCUGUAAUCCUCAUCACUUUGAUAGGCCGAGAUGAAAAGAUUGCAAAGAGUUAAUGACCAGCCUGGGCAACAUAGUGAGACCCCAUCUCAAAAAAAAAAAAAAAAUUCCCAGGUAAAUGAUGAUCUCCAAAUCUAUUUCUUUUAGACAACUGUGGUAUAGAAUUGUGACUAGUGUAUUAUUUUGUGAUCUUUUUUGUUACAUCCUUAGUGUCCAAUAGGAUUUUUGUUGCGUUUGCUUUAAAUCUGAAAUGCUGCAUUUUAAUUCAGCUACAUAAAUAAUGCAUGUUUUCAACAAAACUCAGAUACAAAUAAUGUUCUAAUAUUGUUAUUUAUUUGCAUAUAGCAUUAAUCUCUAGUAAGUCUAACUUCACAAUCUCUUUUCUCACUUUUCAGUAUACCUCUAGCUUCCAGCUGUUUUACCUAGAGACUCUAAGACCUAUGACUGCCAGAAUGAAAGAUUGUUACUCUUUUCCCUUGCUUAUUAAGAGGGCCAGAGGGUGUGAUGGCUCCGACUUGACUGAUAUAAUUGAAAUCAAAGACUUGCCAAGUUAUACCAGCAACUCCAGCAAAACUGUGAAUUUACUGGCCUUGGAGGACUAUGGAUUGAAACACACAAAACAUCUUUGACUGUGCAUGCCCUUCACACUGACUGCCUAGUUCCCUCACAGAAGACUGUACCAUGUUGGUGUAAGAAAUCAUUGUGUAUAUGAAUUUUGUCAUGAGGACCUAGUGGUCAGCACUCCUUCACAUUACAGAACAAGGAAAAUAUAGUAUGUAUAAACUCUUCAGCAAUCCCUAUUUUAGGGAGCCCAAAUUCAAUUCACCUAAAUUGAAAAAGUUCAAAUAUAACAAAGGAUUAGAUCAGUUAUCAAGCUAAAUGAAUCCCAAAGCAUAUUGCCUUCUAAACUAAUUUUAUUCUAUACACAGCUGUAAGAUUACUAUGUAGAUGGACUUUUUUUUUUUUUCAAUUAGCUUUGUGCCACUCAGGAAUAUAAAAAAUGUUUGGAAUAUCUUUUUGAAUCCAUUAUUUGUUCCCAAAUAUUUAUAAACUUCUUUCAAUUUUAAGCCAAAAUUCUGUUGCACACUGUGAAUAUAAAGUCAGCUGAAUUAUAGUAGCUUGUUCAUCCAACUUCUGUGAACAGGUAGACAUUCACUGGAAUCUUUCCAAGCCCUUGGCAAUGGAAAUUUUUACCUAUUGGCUAAGGCAACGCUCUUUGCAUUUCAAGUAGUGAACGCGAUGUUAAUGCUUAAGCUAUCUUAAUUUUCCAAAUGCUAAUGGCAUAGUUGAAAGUGUUAAUAAUAUGACUAUAUCAGAUCUUGUCUUUAGGGGGGCUUAAUUUAUCCUAUCCUUGAGCAAACCAUCUGGCAUUGCUAAGCCCCAAGUUGCCUGGGCCUGUGUAACACUGGGUGGGUUUUAAUUCUUUUGUCUAGCCUAGUAAAUCAUUCAAUAUGGUUAGUUUUUAAAUGCCGGCUUGUUUUCAAAACUGAAAUAGUAAGAGCUGAUGAUAUAAACCAAAAUUGAAACUAGAAGAAAUUUCUCCUUCCUUAUUUUACACAGAAGUGGGCUGGAGCUGCUGCAAUCAUGGGGAUGUUUGAUAUUGCAACAAAGGAAGCAAAACAGAGCUAAAUGAAUCCUGUGCAAUGAGGAGGCAUUUUCAGGUAGUGGCCAGAAACUAGAAACUGCUCUUUUCUGGUUAAAAACAUUUGUGACCCAUAAAACCUUCUCACUGCUUACUGAAUAGCACAGCUCUGAGAUACAAACCAGCAAAUUUACAAAUCACAAUGCUUUUCCUGCUGAACCAAUAGCUGUAGCAAAUAUAUAUGUAAAAUGCGAUGGAAGAAUGAAGACCUCUUUAAAAGCCUGAAGAAAAUUUAUACUAGAUAUGAAAGUUUGAGCAAUCACAUAAAAGCCCUAGUCCCUUAACAUUGCUUUUAAGGUCAUCAGUGUCCUGGAUGUUGGUGACUUCCUUGGACCCAUUUCUCCACUCCCCACCUUGAACUUCAUGUUUAACUCUUAUUUCUUCCAGUACUUAGUGAAUAUUCUCUUCUCUCCAAGCCUUUUCCUGGAGGAACAUUCUCUUGUCUGACUUCCUAAGUCUGAGUUAAGUGGUCUCCUAUGUCUCCUCUGAUAAACUUAUUUUACCCUGUCAUUAUUCUUAGCACACUUAUUUAAUGCCCUAUUUACUGGCUUAUCCUGCUUCUACGCUAUAAGCUCUGGCAUAUCUGUCCUGUUCACCAUUGUAUCCUGAAUGCCUGGCACUUAGAAAGCCUUCAAUAAAUACUUUUUGAAUGGAGUUCAUUGCAGAAACACUAAAGAAUUUUUGCAUGUUUUUACUUUAAGAAAAAUCUUAGUAGCAGGAUCAGAUCUCAGUCAUAUAGUACACUCAAUUGUGCACAUGAUUCCUGUAUUUAUAUUCUUUAAAUAAACUGAAUUUUAAUUCCAAACUACCAUUUCGCUUGGAUGUCAAGAAAUUUAAUCUCAGUCAUUUAGGGGCUGGAUCCUUCCCUGGGAUCUCACAGAAUCAGGGAGGUUUAUAUGAAAUCCAUGAAAUGGCUGAAAGGUUUCCACUGUCUUUCUGGUCCUGCUCCUAGUCCACGCAUGAGGAAAGAAGCCCUGUCUAUCUCUGCUCCUAAGCUACACAGGGUUUCAAGAAUCUGAGCUGCUUCUGGGAAGCCCUGGCCCAGAGCC